CCUGAAGACCCCAUUUUCAAACCUCCAGCGCUACUGCAUGCUUCAAGAUCACUCAAGCUUCUCAUGAAGACUGGAAACAAAAGGGAAAAGUGGGGAAAGAUCCAGCUUUUACUUAUGUGGCUCUCCAGGAAAAGAUAAAGGCUGCAGAGUAACUGGAGUGCAAGAUUUUAGAACAUCGAUAUCAGCCUGUUCUGCAGCAAAUUGAGCAGAUCUGCAAAGUUCUACUGGAGCAGAGAAGACCACUGACCCUCAGGAGAGCAGGUCAGUGAACAUCACACUCCUGUGUCCCAUUUUCCUUUGUAUCGUCUGUUUGCUGGAGGCUCAACCUGUCAUUAUAUCAGGUGAAUUAAACAGCUGACGAGGGCAGAGACUGACGGAGGUUGGAGCAGAGAGAGGCAUGCAGUGUGGGAAACAAAGGCACGUUUGAUUCAGGCACCUGAAUCUUCCUUCAGGCCCUGAGGCGGCAGAGAGUCAGGUCUGUAGAUCUGGCAGCAGAUGGAGGAGCUGAUCAGAGAUUUCUCUGAGCUGAAGAAACUCGAAGAUAAGACACAGCGCCAUCUAGUGGUCAGAUUUAGUAAUUCAUAAGAUGAAGGAGUAAAGUUCAACAAAGGGGGAAAGUUACUCAUCACAGUUUCUCUACUCAUUUAUUAAGUGCAAUUUUAAUUUGCUUUAAUGUUUUUUUGUGUGUUAUUUUUGCAUCUUCAUUUUAACAGAAAAUGUUGGUGUUUAUUUACUCUCAUGCAUUUAUCAGACACAAUUAUUAAAAUAUUCCAGUGGUAAGAUUGCAUGCAAAAGAAGCAUUCAGCUAAUAAAAAUGUCCAGGGUCUUGACAAUAAAACCAAACAGCAGUGUUUAAAUGUGCUGUACAUUCAUAUCAUACAGAAAUAAAAAUCAUACCAAAUAUUACAGUUUCAAAAGAUAAACAUUUGAUAGUUGUGUGAUGACUAUUUGUCAGAACAACGAAACAACCUGAACAAACUUAAUGAACUCAACAAUGGUUGACAAGGCAUUCUAUCAGUCACAUACAUUACAGGCCAGUCAGAGUGAUGAAGCAUAUGCUGUAGUGGGUACGUGCAGCUCAACGAUGAAGUCACCACAGCAAGUGUUACAGCUGCUAACUAUUACUGGAGCCAGUUGGUUAAACAAACUCAGGCCAAUUAGCACAAACAUCUUAUCUG